GACGAACGCUGGCGGCGUGCUUAACACAUGCAAGUCGAACGAAGUGGCGAACGGGUGAGUAAUACGUGAGUAACCUGCCCUCCUUUUGGGGAUAAGCCUUGGAAACGGGGUCUAAUACCGAAUAAGGGGGAUGGGCUCGCGGCCUAUCAGCUUGUUGGUGGGGUGAUGGCCUACCAAGGCGGUGACGGGUAGCCGGCCUGAGAGGGUGACCGGCCACAUUGGGACUGAGAUACGGCCCAGACUCCUACGGGAGGCAGCAGUGGGGAAUCUUCCGCAAUGGACGAAAGUCUGACGGAGCAACGCCGCGUGAGUGAUGACGGCCUUCGGGUUGUAAAGCUCUGUUAAUCGGGACGCGGUACCGGAAUAGAAAGCCACGGCUAACUACGUGCCAGCAGCCGCGGUAAUUC
rnacentral:rRNA from 1 species